UAAGGAAUAUUGGUCAAUGGAGGCAACUCUGAACCAGCCAUGCCGCGUGCAGGAAGAAGGCCCUAUGGGUCGUAAACUGCUUUUGAACAAGAGAAAACCCCGGUACGUGUACUGGGUUGAUAGUAUUGUUAGAAUAAGCAUCGGCUAACUUCGUGCCAGCAGCCGCGGUAAGACGAAGGAUGCAAGCGUUAUCCGGAUUCAUUGGGUUUAAAGGGUGCGUAGGCGGACUGAUAAGUCAGUGGUGAAAUCUCUCGGCUUAACCGAGAAACUGCCAUUGAUACUGUUAGUCUAGAGUACAGAUGAUGUGGCGGAAUAUGACAUGUAGUGGUGAAAUACUUAGAUAUGUCAUAGAACACCGAUUGCGAAGGCAGCUCACAAAACUGUAACUGACGCUGAGGCACGAAAGUGCGGGGAUCAAACAGGAUUAGAUACCCUUGUAGUCCCUGAGCGGGCUGGCAAGGCGCAU
rnacentral:rRNA from 1 species